rnacentral:rRNA from 1 species
AAUCCGGGAUAAGAGUCGAACCUGACAGUAUACCAAUUUCCCCGGAAAACGGUAAUAGUGCGUGUAAACAUACUCCCAAGAAAAUCCGCUAAACUUAAUCUUAUAGGUACCCGUACCGUAAACGGACACACGUAGUCGGGUUGAAUAUACUCAGGCGCUUGAGUGAAUCACGGUUAAGGAACUAGGCAAAUUGACCCUGUAACUUCG